AGUGAACGCUGGCGGUAGGCCUAACACAUGCAAGUCGAACGGCAGCACAGUAAGAGCUUGCUCUUACGGGUGGCGAGUGGCGGACGGGUGAGGAAUACAUCGGAAUCUACUUUUUCGUGGGGGAUAACGUAGGGAAACUUACGCUAAUACCGCAUACGACCUACGGGUGAAAGCAGGGGAUCUUCGGACCUUGCGCGAUUGAAUGAGCCGAUGUCGGAUUAGCUAGUUGGCGGGGUAAAGGACCACCAAGGCGACGAUCCGUAGCUGGUCUGAGAGGAUGGUCAGCCACACUGGAACUGAGACACGGUCCAGACUCCUAGGGGAGGCAGCAGUGGGGAAUAUUGGACAAUGGGCGCAAGCCUGAUCCAGCCAUACCGCGUGGGUGAAGAAGGCCUUCGGGUUGUAAAGCCCUUUUGUUGGGAAAGAAAAGCAGCAGGUUAAUACCCCGCUGUUCUGACGGUACCCAAAGAAUAAGCACCGGCUAACUUCGUG
rnacentral:rRNA from 1 species